UUUUCCAAAUUUUCGUGAAGGUUUAGUGAUUAGAUAAUCCCUCGAUUUUACGAGUAGAAACUCAUUUGCUUUGUCCAAACUCAAAGGAAAAUUUCUCUCUGUCCGGAAACCCCCGAAAUUGACAAAUUAACUACCAGAUUAGCAUCAUCCCACACAAUUUCCAGUCAAAACAGUGACAAGUGCGUGCUUUAAUCCCACCUGACCAGCUUAUGACGUUUCCCAACCGGUGGUCCAAGUUUGGUAUUAUCACGAAUUCAUGCAGUGAAAUGACAAUUGCGAAACGAUUUCGAUUGGACUCGAAUCUGUCCGGAACGGCGUCACAUUCGACCCUAAUCUGAUUAAAAUAUGUGUCAAAAACUAUCACUCUCCUUUUCUACGACUUUCUCUUUCGAAGUACAGUUACGUUACGUCACGGCUAUGGAAAUGCUGUUUCAUUCAUCUUUGUUGCCAUAAAAGUGGCCUUAGUUAAUAAUUAUCGAUCGUUUGCUAACUUCUUUAUUGGCAGUUUUAGUUUUAUGGAUUAAGCGGUGAGGGGUCUACUAGUGCAGAGGUGGAUUAUAAAAUAAAUCAAUAGGGGCAACGCCAACGUGCGCUAAUAUUUGUGACUUUUUAAAUGGGAGUCGGACGUUUCCUGGGAAUUUUGAGGGGGCGUAAGAUGAGGCAACGUUUUGUGGCGAUUCAAAGAAAAAUUGACUGUGUCAUCGAUGCAGUCAUUGAAACCAAAAUUUGUUUAUUAAAACUGAUUCAUAAGUGUUAUUUUCACUUUCCUUUCAACCAACUUUUCGAGUUUUCCCAUAUAUACAAGUAUAAUGUGGGCAACAGAGGAAAACGAUCAUGUUAUUAGCAUCUGUAAGAAUCAAAAAAAUUCAGUGCCUCAAAAUGUUGAACCAACUGUUCUUAAACAAUGUGUGUCAAAACAAAAAAAUGGAUGAAAGAAAUGAAAGAAAGAAUUUGUGUGACAAAAAGAUCUAGAAAAAAUCUAGAAAAACUGAAAACAUGGAACAUUGUAAAAAUAAAAAAAAACAAAUAAAUGAAAACUAAACAAAAAGAAUCUAAUAAUAAUAAAGAAUGUUAAAAUUGAAAUGUAGACAAUCCAAAUUCCAAAAUAUUGUCAAAGGAUUAUGAGAAAGGUAUGUUUAUUUUAAUUUUUAAUGUGUCAUCGAUGGAGUCAUUGAAACCAAAUUUUGUUUAUUAAAAAUAAUUUAUAGGUUUAUGUAUUCCAUUUUCUUUUAAUCAACAUUUUGAUGUUUUCUCAUGUGUUUGUUUAAUAUGGACAGCAAAAGAAAGGACCAAGGUAUUGAUACUUUUUGAAAAAAUGAGAAGUAAUUUACUUAAAACAAUCAGUGCUCUGAACUGCUAAAUCAAGUGCUAAAAAAUGUAUUUAAAAACAAAGAAAAAAGAAAGCAAAUAAAGGAAAGAGCAACAGACAUAUUUAGAAAAAAAUUCACAUAAAUUAAAAACAUCGAACGUUGUACGAAAUAAAAAAAAACAAAUAAAUGAAAAACUAAACAAGACAGUCAUUGAAACAAAAAUUUCUUUAUUUCAUAAACUGAUUCAUAAGUUUUGUUUUCAGUUUUCUUUUAAUCAAAGAGCAAAGAAAGGACUAAGUUGUUAAUUAACACAUUCUAAACAAAAUAAAAAAGUGGUUUAUUUAAAAAAAUCAGUGCCUCAAAAUUUUGAGCCAACUGUUGUUAAACAAUGUGUGUCAAAACAAAAAAAUGGAUGAAAGAAAGAAUUUGUGUGACGAAAAGAUUUAGGAAAAAUCUAAGUAAACUGAAAACAUGGAACAUUGUAAAAAAUAAUAAAAGAGAAACCAAAUAAAUGGAAUACUAAACAAGAAAAAUAUAAUAAUAAUAAUAAAGAAUGUCAAAAUUAAAAUGUAGACAAUCCAAAUUCCAAAAUAUUAUCAAAGGACUGUGAGACAGGUAUUUUUAAUUUAAUUUUGAAUGUGUCAUCGAUGCAGUCAUUGAAAAACCAAAAUUUGUUUAUUUAUUUGUUGUAUUGUAUUCCCUUUUCUUUUAACCAACA